UACGGAGGUGGCAAGCGUUGCUCGGAAUCACUGGGCGUAAAGGGCGCGUAGGCGGGGAGGUAAGUCGGGUGUGAAAUCCCUCGGCCCAACCGAGGAACUGCGCCCGAGACUGCUUCUCUUGAGUCCCGGAGAGGAAGAUGGAAUUCCCGGUGUAGCGGUGAAAUGUGUAGAGAUCGGGAGGAACACCAGUGGCGAAGGCGACUUCCUGGCCUGUUCUUGACGCUGAGGCGCGAAAGCUAGGGUAGCAAACGGG
rnacentral:rRNA from 1 species